AUUCAAUGUGAAUAAUAGGCGCACUGAAGACCAAAGGAUAAAUCGGGGUAAACGGGGCAGGGCAAGACAAUGCCGCUGGGCGGAGAUGAAGAUUUUGCGAUACCCUCUUCACUUAACGAGAUUCAUGCAGUCCCUUCGGGGCAACAAUAGCAUUGCCACCAGUUGCACAACCCAAGAUGUUGCUGACAGACUGUCCUCUGUGGAAGAGGUUAUAAAAGCAUCUAUGAUUUCAGAAGGGGCAAUAACUCCAAUAACUAACACAGUCUCCAGGGGUGACUCUCAAGCCGUGAAAGUCAGGACAGCGGCAGGAAGCCCCACACCGCCAGCAGGGAUCCUUGGCUGCCAGUGGAAGCUGGGCUUGGCUUUGUGUGGGUUCUGCGCUCCUUCGCCCAGUUUCAAAACCUCCCGCACCUGUGUCUUUCUCCAUGCAAAUGAGCCCAACAGGAAAAACAGGCGCCUGUGGAGGUUUCACAACAACCUAGAAGCUGUCCCAUGCCAGAUCUCUGUCGGUGAGAAAAUGUGUGUGGAUGCUGACUUCUAGAAGACUCCAAAGCGCUUGUCUUCCCCACUCCCCAUUUCCAAAGGCUGAGACUCCUCUGCACUCCGAGUUUCCUCCCACGCUUCGUCUGAAGAGUGGGUUUUGGGGAGUGAAGGAUAGAAAAUAUCUGAAGACUCUUCCCUAUGACUUAAGACAUGAAUUUUCUUCUCAAGUCUUGAACUAAAGUCAGAAAGUGUUUGCAAGAAAUGUUCUUCUAGGUCCCACAUCCACGGGACCAGAUGAUGCCUGGCUCAAUGCAUUCCUAUCUGAAGUGGGGCAGAGAGGCUGGCAGCCUUCUUUACUAACCAGGCCUGGGAUGAGGUCAGGGGACACUGCUCCGUCACAAGCUUCCUGAUGGAGUAGCCAACCUUGCAGAUGGCCCUCGAUGAUCGGCAGUACCUGGUCUUCAUGUGCUUGUGUUGUUCCUCAAUAUUGUCCCUCAAAUGUUGAAUCAGGACUACAGUGGAAAUUAUAAUGUGACUUCUGAGGCCAGGUCAUAAAAGGCAUUGCUGCUUCUGCCCUGGCCUCUUGGAUUGCUUGCUCUGUGAGAAGCUAGCUGCCAUGUUGUGAGGACACUCAAGCAGCUCUGUGGAGAGGCCCAUAUGGAGAGGAACUGAAGGCUGGGCAACAGCCACACCAACUGGCCAGCCAAGGAAAUGAACUAUCUUGGAAGUGGGUCCCUAGCUCCAGCCAGAUGCAUGUAGCCCAGCUAAAAACUGAAUGCACCCUUAGAGCUCCCAAAACAGAACAUUCCAUCCAAGGUGCUCUCAAAUUCUUGAACCAGAGAAACUAGAAGAGAUAACAAUUAUUUUUCUUUUAAGUUCCUAAGUGUUGGGGUAACUUGUUAUGCAGCAAAGCAUAACUAAUAAAUAUUUAGUUCCUAGAAGCAAGAUGCUGCUGUAACAAAAAUCUAAAAAUAUGAGAGUGGUUUUGGGACCAAGAGUGGGAAAAAGUUGUAGAGACCAUGAAGAGAGUGUGAGGGAAAGCCUAAAUGGUCUUAAAGAGACUGUUUUCAGAAAUAUGAUGGCCUUCAAGGAGGCUAUUGGUAAGAUCUUGAAGAAAAUUGAGGAACAUGUUACUGGAAGCUGGAAGAAAGGGGAUUCUUACCCAUGGAACAGCAGAACAUCUAGCACAUUUUGUUAACAUGGAAAAUAGAAAAUGUACCUACUGAACUGGGUGAUCCAGCUAAAAAGAUUUCCAGGCAGAGUGGUAUAGGUGCCACCUUGAUUUUCGUUGCUACUUUGAGUAAAAAUCAGAGGAAAGAUAAGCUAAAGAAGAAAAAAACCUAUUUAUUACAAAAGAGGCAGAAACUGCAGGGUUUGAAAAUGCCCAGUCUGUCAAGGUAACAGACAAUGUGAAAAUUUUAAAAACAUUUUGAGACAAAGAUAAAAUCCAAAGUACAGCCAGAAAAACAGAGCGUAAAGAUGAAACUAAGGUGUGGCUGCAAGGUUUUCUUGUUUAGACCUCAGAACUAUGCAAGGUGUAGUCUUUCAGCCACUUCAUAGCAUCCUAAAGUAGAAAAGAGAUUUGCGGGUGUAGCUUUUGUCUAACAGAGUGAAUGUCAAUAAGAUUCAUAGGACACUUGCAAAAAUUUUAAGAGAAUUUCACUAGCAAAAACAUUGCCAGCUUUGACUGAAUAGAAAAGAAACACUACAAGAUGAACUGAAGACUUCUAUUGGCAAAUAAACUACUCAACUGCAAAAACACGUUUACUUUUAUGAAAAAGAAAAGAUAAUUCAGGGAUUAGAAGCAAGAACCCAGAAGACAGAGCCAAGAGCUGUAAAGAAUCAUUUUCAGCAGUAACAGGACUGAGUCCUGGCCAAGGAACUUGCAUAAUGUUCCUGGCUAGACUUCAAAAUUUAUCAAUAAUAGACAAUCAGUGUACCUAGUAACUACCUGAAGCACACAGAGAAAUCAAAAAGGAUUCAUUAGAGAAGGAAAACUUGCCAAGCAGGUAGGAAUCUGAUUUACAAUUGCUUUUUUUAAAAAAAGACACCUAUGGUGGAGCUUUCUUGACUAAUUUUCUUCCUUGCAUUAUUCUUGAUACACAGAGAAGCCAAACCAGUGAUUCAUCCAUGACUCAGUCAUAAAUAAAGUGGCAAGUGGGAUGCUGACUGACUUUGGCACCUGAAUUCUAAGGUGCUACAGAAGUGUGGAUUUUUAUCAACAAACUAACACAGAGUUGAGGUUUUCAACUCCACUACUAUGAGCCCUGGGACUUCCAAAGAGAUGUCUCUCGGUCUUUCUUGGGGAGGAGUAAAGGUGAGGGUUGCUUUCUCCUUCAAUUCAGCUUGAAACAACUCUGCUUUUUGUUCAAAAAUUUAUACACACAUAUGUGUAGUCUUUGUACAUGAAAAUGUAAAGAAGAAAAUAAAAUUGGUACAGAUUAAGCCCAA